UACGAAGGGGGCGAGCGUUGUUCGGAAUCACUGGGCGUAAAGCGCACGUAGGCGGCUUUUUAAGUCAGGGGUGAAAUCCUGGAGCUCAACUCCAGAACUGCCUUUGAUACUGAGAAGCUUGAGUCCGGGAGAGGUGGGUGGAACUGCGAGUGUAGAGGUGAAAUUCGUAGAUAUUCGCAAGAACACCAGUGGCGAAGGCGGCUCACUGGCCCGGUACUGACGCUGAGGUGCGAAAGCGUGGGGAGCAAACAGG
rnacentral:rRNA from 1 species